GUGGAAGAUGGGAUGCCCAACCCUUGGGCAUUGGAUAUAGAGGAGGAAGAGAGGAUGGCAAGGAGAUGGGAGGAGAUGGAGAUCUGAAUUCUAAAUUCAAUUAUUUUGAAAUCCUAGGGGACCAUCUCUUGAAUAGACUUUUUCUUGACUUCAAUUCAAUCUCCAAUAAGUUUAAAAAGGCUAGUCCUUAUCUCAUAAGAUCUCUUACCUUUUAAUUUGAUUUUUUUUUCAAAAAAAAUCAGAUCCAAUUGAAAAGAUCCACACCUCAUAUGGCA
rnacentral:lncRNA from 1 species